AACGAACGCUGGCGGCAUGCCUAACACAUGCCAGUCGAACGAGACCUUCGGGUCUAGUGGCGCACGGGUGCGUAACGCGUGGGAACCUGCCCUUAGGUUCGGAAUAACUCCCCGAAAGGGGUGCUAAUACCGGAUAAUGUCUUCGGACCAAAGAUUUAUCGCCUUUGGAUGGGCCCGCGUUGGAUUAGCUAGUUGGUAGGGUAAAAGCCUACCAAGGCGACGAUCCAUAGCUGGUCUGAGAGGAUGAGCAGCCACACUGGGACUGAGACACGGCCCAGACUCCUACGGGAGGCAGCAGUGGGGAAUAUUGGACAAUGGGCGAAAGCCUGAUCCAGCAAUGCCGCGUGAGUGAUGAAGGCCUUAGGGUUGUAAAGCUCUUUUACCCGGGAUGAUAAUGACAGUACCGGGAGAAUAAGCUCCGGCUAACUCCGUG
rnacentral:rRNA from 1 species